GACGAACGCUGGCGGCGUGCUUAACACAUGCAAGUCGAACGGAAAGGCCCUGCUUUUGUGGGGUGCUCGAGUGGCGAACGGGUGAGUAACACGUGAGUAACCUGCCCUUGACUUUGGGAUAACUUCAGGAAACUGGGGCUAAUACCGGAUAGGAGCUCCUGCUGCAUGGUGGGGGUUGGAAAGUUUCGGCGGUUGGGGAUGGACUCGCGGCUUAUCAGCUUGUUGGUGGGGUAGUGGCUUACCAAGGCUUUGACGGGUAGCCGGCCUGGGAGGGUGACCGGCCACAUUGGGACUGAGAUACGGCCCAGACUCCUACGGGAGGCAGCAGUGGGGAAUAUUGCACAGUGGGCGGAAGCCUGAUGCAGCAACGCCGCGUGCGGGAUGACGGCCUUCGGGUUGUAAACCGCUUUCGCCUGUGACGAAGCGUGAGUGACGGUAAUGGGUAAAGAAGCACCGGCUAACUACGU
rnacentral:rRNA from 1 species